rnacentral:rRNA from 1 species
AGAGUUUGAUCAUGGCUCAGAAUCAACGCUGGCGGCGCGCUUAACACAUGCAAGUCGAGCGAGAAAGGGGAGCAAUCCCUGAGUAUAGCGGCGUACGGGUGAGUAACAUGUGGGUGAUCUACCUUCUAGUGUGGAAUAAACCUGGGAAACCGGGGCUAAUACCGCAUAAGCCUGUGAAGGGAAAGCAGCAAUGCGCUGGAAGAGGAGCCCGCGGCCGAUUAGCUAGUUGGUGGGGUAAUGGCCCACCAAGGCGAUGAUCGGUAGCCGGCCUGAGAGGGCACACGGCCACACUGGCACUGAAACACGGGCCAGACUCCUACGGGAGGCAGCAGUGGGGAAUCUUGCACAAUGGAGGAAACUCUGAUGCAGCGACGCCGCGUGAGCGAUGAAGCCCUUCGGGGUGUAAAGCUCUUUCGGCAGGGACGAUAAUGACGGUACCUGAAGAAGAAGCUGCGGCUAACUACGUGCCAGCAGCCGCGGUAAUACGUAGGCAGCGAGCGUUGUUCGGAAUUACUGGGCGUAAAGAGUGUGUAGGCGGUGCUCUAAGUUCGGUGUGAAAUCUCCUGGCUUAACUGGGAGGGUGCGCCGAAAACUGGAGUGCUCGAGCGUGGGAGAGGAAAGCGGAAUUCCUGGUGUAGCGGUGAAAUGCGUAGAUAUCAGGAGGAACACCUGCGGUGUAGACGGCUUUCUGGACCAUUGCUGACGCUGAGACACGAAAGCGUGGGUAGCAAACAGGAUUAGAUACCCUAGUAGUCC